rnacentral:rRNA from 1 species
UGCGUAGGCGGUUUGGUAAGUCAGAUGCGAAAUCCCGGGGCUCAACCCCGGAACUGCAUCCGAUACUGCCAGACUAGAGGACUGGAGAGGUGACUGGAAUUCUCGGUGUAGCAGUGAAAUGCGUGGAGAUCGAGAGGAACACUCGUGGCGUAAGCGAGUCACUGGACAGUAUCUGACGCUGAGGCACCAAGGGCCAGGGUAAGGCAAAG